UCAAAUAUGGCAUAUUGCCACUGGGUCUUUCAGGAUAUGACCCAGCAGUGAGGACAUAGUCAAUAAAGAACAGGAUAAAGCUGUGAAGAACUACUAGUGUUGGGUGGAGGUGGUAUAUGUCCGCUCUUCGGCGACACCUCACGGUCACAUAGAGAAGCAGCAGCAGUUUCAUAACAGGGCUUUUAUUUUGACAUGAUAAAAACCUGGAAGUUGGUUGUGCAACCGACAAAUGGCAGCCGCCCGCAACUCGAGCACACCGCUAUGCCCGCGGGUUUAAAGUAAAAACACAAACAAUUGUACCCCUCUGCCUUGCUGGUAAACAACUUUACUUAAUUGCAAUUUCCAAGACGCUGGAGAGUUUAGCCUACAGCUAAGUUAGUUAGCGCAUGCUUUUUUUGCGAUUGAUCUGUUGGAGCCUCUAACGCCGGUGAAGGAUAAUGCUUCUUCUCAUUCGGAGUCCAAAGCCAAGAACUGCGAUGAGAACCAAUAUCGAACGAAACAAACAGCGGGCUCUGAUGCUGAGGCAAGCCCGACUGGCCAGCAGACAAUCGGCAGGAGAAGGGGGUGGAACCUCGGCUAAAGUCGCCAAGACAGUCGACUCUGGAGAAGGGUUCUUUAUUGAUGGAGAGCGACAGGAGGAGCAAAGGACAAAGAAAGUUGUGCAUCAACCAGGCAUGCAUAUUAAUAGUCAGUCAAAUAUGGCAGGGGGAAGUAUUCACAUUUGUUGCACGAUGUAAAUAUAAUUAAUCUUAUCUGCAGAUCCUCUGCAUGUCCGGUGUAAAAGAGAAAGAUGCAUUGUUGGUUCAUGUGCGGCCCUUUGUGGAUUCAUGUAAUUCCACAUGCCAGUUGCUGAGUGGAGUCAGUUUCAGGUAUUACAGACGUCCCCUAUUAUAAAGGAAGUUCAUAAUACAUUAUUUAUGGCACAGUGGUUGGUCGGUUGUCACUAUCUGAAUGACUCAGUUUUUACUGACAAGACACCUUGGCUGACCUCUCCCUCCUAGCACUCUCACUGCCUGUGAUUCGGGAUAAGUGUGUGUGCGCUAAAAUGACUAGAAUGUAAUCAUUUUAAAUGUACUAGUAGUGUAUUGUCAGUGUCGAGCCUGGGUGCCAGUCUACUGACAGUUCCGUAAGUAGUUUUCAGGAGAGCAGAGGCUAACUGGCGUUCAGGCUUAGUGUUGCGCUCUGCUGCUCUCUCUGACUCCGUCGUCCCCCUAGCCCCGGUGAAGGAGGCUGACUAUCUGCUGUGUGAUGACUGUGACACGCCGUUUGAUGGAUUCCUACCUCAGCGAACGGCUUCGAUCUGGCUGUCUGUGACAACUGCAGGACAAGUUGAUUGCUAGAACCACAACCACAGGGAGGUGCAGAAGCACAUCAACAAAAAGGUCAAAGGUCAGUAACACUGUUUUCUGAUCCCCACUCAGACACAAUGUCAGUCGUUGUAAUAGGAAUUCCCAGAUUAACAAAAAGAAGACCAAUUGUUGGUAAAGUCCAUUUUAAAAAAUGGAGUUGCAACAGAGUGACACCACCCAGCCCAGAAGCAGAGAAAAUGUCUAACUGACCUCUUGGAGACGGGGCCUUUCUAUCCUAAUCAGACAGCACCAAAUGUUCUGUAAACACCAGCGAGAGGCUUGUAGGAAGACAAAACAAAAAGGCAGCGACUGUCAGCUGCUACAGAAUCCCAGUGUUCACAGGAUGUAAUCAGUACAAUACAACAGUGAAUAAUCAGUGUGUCCUUGUACAUCCUGUCUGGCGUCAACCACUAUCAACAGAUAGGAGAAUAAUCCAUAACAUUCAGUAUCAAGUCUAGUGACCAUCAACCUGCACCUUCAGUGUCACAAACGGAACACUGGAAAUCAUGUGUAUUACAGAAAAGGGAAAAUAUAUUUUAGCUAAACAGUGUUUUAACCACUCUAAACUGGAUAUGAACUUUAGUCAUCUUAAAUUUCCCCAUUUGUCACCUUUUCUCAUUACAAAACUAUAUGAGCAAUAGCGACAUAGAGAACACUAGCACCCCCCAGUGGAUUGUAGAAAACAGGUCAUUCAGUUGAAUUUCUUUGUUAUUGACUUAAAUGAAAAAAGCUACACGCUGUGCUUGCCAUUCUAUUUGUGUUUACUGAAGGCUGUAAACACAAGUGAUACUGGCAAACGGUGUGCAGAUUUGUAUUUUUUAAGUUAUUAUUGAAUAAUUCCUACACACCUGUUAUUGAUAAUUUCUUGGGAUAGUUUGUUUCUCUGUUGUGAACAGAGCUGUUGUCGUGCAGUGAGGACCAGCGUGUGGACAAAGGACACCAGUGCUCACCAGCACGGCCCUGAGGAACUAGUGGAUGAAGAGGAGGAUCUCUACAGGAAGGCCUGUAACACCUGUCAACACAAACUGACCUAUGAGGGGAUGUAGCCUUGAGUCUUUUAAAUCGGAGGCUCACGGGGAGUUAUUUUUGAUUUUUUUGUGGGUCUCUGGUAAUACACCCGACAUCUAAAACUGAGAUUCAAAUGAGUGAUACAUCAUACUUCUCACAUGCCUUGAAGCUGAAGCAAGGAGGCCAACCUGAAAUUGUCUCAGCACAUGUCAUACCACAAAGCCACCACAAGAGAGCAUUAAUACAUCAACACAUUUUUAUAGAGAAACGUACUGCUCAGAAGCUGGAGACAAGCUGGAUGGCUGCAAUGUUAUGUUAUCAACUGUUUAGCAUGUUAACUUCCAUUUUGUAUUUAUCACUUCUAAGAUGUAAUGUGUAGAAGGAUCUGCAUGUGCAAAAUAAAUAUAUUUUUCCAUAA